GUAAAAGUAUUGUAUCUGAUAAUUUCUACAAUUUGUCUUGUAUUUUUCUAAUUGAUUUAGAAUCUUCUCAUGAUAUCUCACUUUUUUUUGAUAUCCCAAUGAAAUUACUUGGAUAUGUGAAAUUUAAUUUAAGAAAUUGAAAUUUCUUAAAUUUCUGGUGUGACAAAUUUUAUAAAUGCUUAUUGCGAUAAUGUGCUUUGGUUUGAUGUUGUGAACUCUUGUAGUAGAUACAAUAGGGUUAAAAUGUGGAACAUCUUGAAGAUUAUAUGGAAACUGAAGAAGUUACUGGUUUGCUGAGAGAAAAACACUGAUGAUAAGCUUUGUAACAAACCCUUUUAGAAGUGACCAUGGAAAGAUGAUAAAUGAUAUUUACCUCAUAUGUCAUGAUAACUGGUUUUUAAAGAAGAUAUCUGUGCCCUCUUUUAUCGUGGGUAAGGGGAAAUGUAUCACUUACAAGCACUCAAUCACUAUGACAUAAAGAAAUAGCAAACCUUGAACAUGUCAAAACAGUGCCUGUUCACUCUUCUUUUCUUGAAAGCUGAGUUUAUUCUCAAUAAUAUAUUCCCCAAAUAAGUAGUCUUUAAAAUAUGAUGUUUAUUUUAUGGUAAAAUUUUGUAAGAUGUAUAAGAAGGUAUCUGAAC
rnacentral:lncRNA from 1 species